rnacentral:rRNA from 1 species
GGAGUUAGCCGGUGCUUCUUCUGCGAGUAACGUCACAGAUGUAAGGUAUUAACUUACACCCUUUCCUCCUCGCUGAAAGUGCUUUACAACCCGAAGGCCUUCUUCACACACGCGGCAUGGCUGCAUCAGGGUUUCCCCCAUUGUGCAAUAUUCCCCACUGCUGCCUCCCGUAGGAGUCUGGGCCGUGUCUCAGUCCCAGUGUGGCUGAUCAUCCGUCUCAGACCAGCUAGGGAUCGUCGCCUAGGUGAGCCUUUACCUCACCUACUAGCUAAUCCCACCUGGGCUUAUCCAUCAGCGCAAGGCCCGAAGGUCCCCUGCUUUCCCCCGUAGGGCGUAUGCGGUAUUAGCAGUCGUUUCCAACUGUUAUCCCCACAAAUGGGCAAAUUCCCAGGCAUUACUCACCCGUCCGCCGCUCGUCAUCUUCAAAAGCAAGCUUUUGAAAUGUUACCGCUCGACUUGCAUGUGUUAGGCCUGCCGCCAGCGUUCAAUCUGAGCCAGAAUCAAACUCUGA